rnacentral:lncRNA from 1 species
GCAUACUCACCAACAUGUCAUCCAUUGAGCAUGUUUAGGAUGCUCUGUAUCAACGUGUAUGACAGCGUGUUCCAAUAUCCAGCAACUUCGCACAGUCAUUGAAGAGGAGUGGUACAACAUUUCACAGUCCACGAUGAACAGCCCGAUCAACAUGCGUGCUGCAUGAGGCAAAUGGUAGUCACACCAGAUACUGACUGUUUUUCCUGAUCCACGCCCCUACCUUUUUUUUAAAGGUCAGACAGGACAAAAAGGAGACCCUGGAGUUGAUGGCCAGACUGGAGCCAAGGGAGAAGCAGGGGAACCAGGAUUCGAAGGGGAUUCACCUUACUCCUACUGACCCCAAACCUUAAGAUCAAUCUAAACCCCAAUAGGAAAUGUGACAUAAUUACUGAUCUUUCAUGUCAUAACAAUGCAUUUAGUAGUCUGUGGUUCUUAUUAAUGCUCAUAUCCACUGGCAAACAGAGUUCUCUUGUAGUUCUACCACUAAUGAUCUCCAUACAGUACAUCAACUCAAUAAUAAGUCACUGUUUCAGGUGAAGAUGGUACCACUGGGCAACAAGGACCAGCUGGAACACCAGGUAGACCCAGUAGUACUAACAUGGAACCAGUCCAGUAGUACUAACAUGGAAUACAACUCAAGCUGUGGCGUUAUGAGAAAAUGGUGGAUAAGUUGACUGUUUACCAUGGCAGUUACCCAUGCAUCAACACUAACUUUAAUCAGCUCCUUGGUGGACAGGUAGGACCGUGAUAUUAGUGUGUUCUUUUAGUCUGAGAGACAGAGGCUAGAUUAAUUAUUGACAGUGUCACAUGGGCCAGUUCUACAGGUGGAGCUGGAUGAUUUAGUGUUAGGGACAUUGAAUAUUACCCCCUCUCUCACCCCAUCCAUCACAGAGGAAACGUGCGUCGUGUACUUGAUGUCCCAAAGCCAGUCCAAAUAAAGUAUGCUUUGAUACAUAUUUGAUUAGCUGAACUUGCUCCGGGACUUUGCAUUUUUUUAAUUGCUUAAAAAACUAGCCCUGACUCUUGAAAAGUUUUAGGGAGGGGGGAGGUGUUAAUGAAUUUAAAAAUAGUGUAGGAUGAAUGGUUAAAACUGCUGCUGCCCAGGCAGAGACUCUUCUUUUUCUCUCAGUAGGCUGAUGAUCACAAGGCCCUAUUCUCUUACGCCCUGGAAUAAGUAGAAGAUGGACUCAAACUCCCCUUUUUAGUUAACAGAGUCAUAAAUAAUGCCCAAUAAUGUUUGGACCCUGUUUUGUGUUGCUACCAUGUCGUGCUGCUGCCAUGUUGUGUUGCUACCAUGUUGUUGUCAUGAUUUGUUGCUACCAUGUCGUGCUGCUGCCAUGUUGUGUUACUACCAUGUUGUUGUCAUGUUGUGUUGCUACCAUGUCGUGCUGCUGCCAUGUUGUGUUGGUACCAUGUUGUUGUCAUGUUGUGUUGCUACCAUGCUGUGUUGUCAUGUGUUGCUGCCAUGCUAUGUUAAUGUCUUAGGUCUCUCUUUAUGUAGUGUCGUGUUAUUUCUCUUGUCGUGAUGUGUGUUUUGUCCAUUAUUUGUAUUUAUUUUUAAUCCCAGCCCCCGUCCCCGCAGGAGGCCUUUUGCCGUUUUGGUAGGCCAUCAUUGUAAAUAAGAAUUUAUUCUUAACUGACUUGCCUAGUUAAAUAAAGAUUAAAUAAAUAAAAAAUGCAUUAAAAUAAAAAUAAAAUUUCCCUCAUCAUGACUGGCUCAAGUGUUGUAACAUUUCCAGGCAUAGUUCCACAUUUCUGUCACAGCUGUCGUGGAAGAGAGAAUGGGACCAAGGCGCAGCGGGUUGCGUGCUCAACAUAUUUAUUAAAUAAAAUGAGAACACCACGGAAAAACAAUAAACAAACUAACGACAGGAACAGAGCCGCAGGCUCAACAAAAGCAGUGCUCUCAAACAACUACCCACAAGUGACAAACAAAAACACACACCUAUUUAUAGGACUCCCAAUCAGAGGCAACUAGAAACACCUGCCUCCAAUUGAGAGUCCAGCACCCAACCUACACAUAGAAAAACUAACCUAGAAUAUACACAUAGAAAUACAAACAUAGACCAGUGACCAAAAACCCCGUAAUACAUAAAUAAACUACCCUCUGCCACAUCCUGACCAAACUACAAUAACAAAAUAUCCUCUAUACUGGUCAGGACGUGACAAUUUCAGCCUUCUCAGUUUCUGUUCCGGUUGUCACAGUAAUAUACAGAAACGACAUAUGUACGAUCUUAAUUUGAGCCAGUUCACAACAGCAGGAAAAUAAUCCUGCAGAAACAGGAAAUGUGAAUUAUUAUGUGGAUUAUAAUUAAUGGACAUUAUUUGUAGGGGUUGAUACAUUUUUCUUGAGGGGAAAAACAAGUCUCACAAUUUAAAGUGUAAAUUACAAACUUUAGAAGCCUUUUUAAACCUUGAAUACACUACAAGUUCGCAUUUUGUGCUAUGCAGGAAAAUUCUCAGCAACAAAAGAGUGAUCAAAUUAAGAUUCUACAUCUGUAUAUCACCAGAUCAUCAUUGUGAAAUUUGUCCAUUUCAGUUAAAAGUGCUGAGUGAAUGCAUUCACAACUGGAAAUACAGCUAGUUUAGUUUACUUGCUUCACCCAUAUACAGUUUAUUUGUUUCUUGUUACACACACAGUACAGCUGUCGGAUCUUAAUUUGAGCCAG